UGGAUGUAUCCAUAUAAGUUAGCAGCUUGAAGGGAGAUUCCAGCUAUCACAAGAGCCUGCAGAAGUUGGCCCAAUAAAAGUUGAGACUUCAAUUCCAGUUCCAUGGCAGAUCUGAAAACUAAGAGAUGUGACUUCAUAAGGUAUGCUUUUGUCCAGCAGUGUUCCUGGAACAUGAUGCCUAUCGUAGAGCAUUUAUACUUGGCCUGCAGAGUGAGUCACUCUCCAAAACUACACAAGGAGCACCAGAAGAGGCUGCAAACCUUAUUGCCUCAAGAAGCUCUGACUGCAAAACCUCCUGGAUCAUACUCAUCCAAUGGGUCCUGCAUCUAAGGUGAAAAGGCCAGAGUCAGCUUCUGACACCUUGGAGAGUGAGAAGAUGAAAAAUACUAUACAUAAGGUUCUGAUCUCUGCCCCAGGAUAUGAAUCUAAGACCUCAGUGCAGCCAGUGCCCAGAUCACCUGAUCUAAACAUUAAGUGCUCAGACAGUCGAUGCUGAACUCUGAAAAAUCUUGAUAUUGGUCUACUUUGGUUCUGAGAAAUACAGUGCAAGACAAGGAAACUCCUGUUAGCAGGGCCAAAUCCUAUUCAGGAGACUCCUCCAAUCUGUCAGAUCUGGAUCAAAACAUCAGUUCCUAAAUCAAAGACUAAGAUUUCAGAUCACUUCAAAUCUGAAGAUUAUUCCAGAACUGGCAGUUAUUUCUACACUGUCUAUCUGCACUGCACCAACCUUUACUGUGGAAGCCCAAAUGCACUGCACGGAUCCACAA